GAUGAACGCUAGCGGCAGGCUUAAUACAUGCAAGUCGAACGGUAAGGUCUCUUCGGAGAUACACGAGUGGCGCACGGGUGCGUAACGCGUAUGCAACCUACCUUUAACUGGGAAAUAGCUCCGAGAAAUCGGGAUUAAUGUCCCAUACUAUUCUUUGAAUGCAUAUUUGAAGAAUGAAAGCUCCGGCGGUUAUUGAUGGGCAUGCGUGACAUUAGCUAGUUGGUGAGGUAACGGCUCACCAAGGCUACGAUGUCUAGGGGGUCCUGAGAGGGUUUAAACCCCCACACUGGUACGUGAGGACACGGACCGACGACUCCUACCGGGAGGGCUG
rnacentral:rRNA from 1 species